rnacentral:rRNA from 1 species
GAUGAACGCUGGCGGCGUGCCUAAUACAUGCAAGUCGAGCGAACAGAUAAGGAGCUUGCUCCUUUGACGUUAGCGGCGGACGGGUGAGUAACACGUGGGUAAUCUACCUAUAAGACUGGAAUAACUCCGGGAAACCGGGGCUAAUGCCGGAUAACAUUUAGAACCGCAUGGUUCUAAAGUGAAAGAUGGUUUUGCUAUCACUUAUAGAUGGACCCGCGCCGUAUUAGCUAGUUGGUAAGGUAACGGCUUACCAAGGCAACGAUACGUAGCCGACCUGAGAGGGUGAUCGGCCACACUGGAACUGAGACACGGUCCAGACUCCUACGGGAGGCAGCAGUAGGGAAUCUUCCGCAAUGGGCGAAAGCCUGACGGAGCAACGCCGCGUGAGUGAUGAAGGUCUUCGGAUCGUAAAACUCUGUUAUUAGGGAAGAACAAAUGUGUAAGUAACUGUGCACGUCUUGACGGUACCUAAUCAGAAAGCCACGGCUAACUACGUG